UACGAGUGGUGCAAGCGUUAUUCGGAAUCAUUGGGCGUAAAGGGUGUGUAGACGGCAGAUUAAGUCAACUGUUUAAUUCUCCGGCCUAACCGGAGGCCAGCGGUAGAAACUGGUCUGCUAGAGGGUGGAAGAGAGAAGUGGAAUUCUCGGAGUAGCGGUAAAAUGCGUAGAUCUCGAGAGGAACACCAAUGGCGAAGGCAGCUUCUUGGUCCACAUCUGACGUUGAAACACGAAAGCGUGGGGAGCAAACAGG
rnacentral:rRNA from 1 species